rnacentral:rRNA from 1 species
UACGUAGGGGGCAAGCGUUGUCCGGAAUCAUUGGGCGUAAAGCGCGCGUAGGCGGCCCGGUAAGUCCGCUGUAAAAGUCCAGGGCUCAACCCUGGAAAGCCGGUGGAUACUGUCGGGCUCGAGUCCGGAAGAGGCGAGUGGAAUUCCUGGUGUAGCGGUGGAAUGCGCAGAUAUCAGGAGGAACACCAAUGGCGAAGGCAGCUCGCUGGGACGGUACUGACGCUAAGGCGCGACAGCGUGGGGAGCAAACAGG